rnacentral:rRNA from 1 species
UGGGGAAUAUUGGACAAUGGACCAAAAGUCUGAUCCAGCAAUUCUGUGUGCACGAUGACGUUUUUCGGAAUGUAAAGUGCUUUCAGUUGGGAAGAAAAAAAUGACGGUACCAACAGAAGAAGUGACGGCUAAAUACGUGCCAGCAGCCGCGGCAAUACGUAUGUCACAAGCGUUAUCCGGAUUUAUUGGGCGUAAAGCGCGUCUAGGUGGUUAUGUAAGUCUGAUGUGAAAAUGCAGGGCUCAACUCUGUAUUGCGUUGGAAACUGUAUGACUAGAGUACUGGAGAGGUAAGCGGAACUACAAGUGUAGAGGUGAAAUUCGUAGAUAUUUGUAGGAAUGCCGAUGGGGAAGCCAGCUUACUGGACAGAUACUGACGCUAAAGCGCGAAAGCGUGGGUAGCAAACAGGAUUAGAUACCCUGGUAGUCCACGCCGUAAACGAUGAUUACUAGGUGUUGGGGGUCGAACCUCAGCGCCCAAGCUAACGCGAUAAGUAAUCCGCCUGGGGAGUACGUACGCAAGUAUG